rnacentral:lncRNA from 1 species
UUGGAAAUGAGCUUGCCAGGGGAACAGAGGGAUACCUGAAUAGCGAAUGCAAGGCAGUUCAAAACUCAAACUCAGGCCACUGGAUUUGCUGCCCACUGCUCCUUGUAUGAUCGCCCUGACCAGCAAUAGAUGCUGUGGAAGAAGUGCAUGAUGUAGCUCCUGACCUCAAGACACUUUUCCACUGGAUACGGAUACAGGGCAUAUCUCCAGGGAGAUCAUUCAGGAUAAUGCCCAGUCAUCAGCAGGCAGUGCCAUAUGAAUGCAU